ACAUGCAAGUCGAACGAAGACCCAGAGCUUGCUCUGGAAUUCUUAGUGGCGAACGGGUGAGUAACGCGUGGGAAUCUACCUAUAAAUGGGGAAUAACUAUUGGAAACGAUAGCUAAUACCGCAUAAGCCCUCCGGGGUAAAGGCUUCGGUCGUUUUUAGAUGAGCCCGCGUUAGAUUAGGCUGUUGGUGAGGUAAUGGCUCACCAAACCUACAAUCUAUAGCUGGUCUGAGAGGAUGAUCAGCCACACUGGGACUGAGACACGGCCCAGACUCCUACGGGAGGCAGCAGUGGGGAAUAUUGGACAAUGGGGGAAACCCUGAUCCAGCAAUGCCGCGUGAGUGACGAAGGCCUUAGGGUUGUAAAACUCUUUCAGAAGUGAAGAUGAUGACGGUAACUUCAGAAGAAGCUCCGGCUAACUCCGUGCCAGCAGCCGCGGUAAUACGGAGGGAGCUAGCGUUGUUCGGAAUUACUGGGCGUAAAGAGCGUGUAGGCUGUUAGGUAAGUCAGAGGUGAAAUCCCUAAGCUCAACUUAGGAACUGCCUUUGAUACUAUCUUACUAGAGAUCGAGAGAAGUUGGCGGAAUUCCAAGUGUAGAGGUGAAAUUCGUAGAUAUUUGGAAGAACACCAGUGGCGAAAGCGGCCAACUGGCUCGUUUCUGACGCUAAGACGCGAAAGCGUGGGUAGCAAACAGGAUUAGAUACCCUGGUAGUCCACGCCGUAAACGAUGAGUGCUAGCCGUUUGUGAUUUAUCACAAGUGGUGCAGCUAACGCGUUAAGCACUCCGCCUGGGGAGUACGAU
rnacentral:rRNA from 1 species